GUCCUCGUAGCUCAGUUGGAUAGAGCAAUCGCCUCCUAAGCGGUAGGUCGUGAGUUCGAAUCUCAUCGAGGACG
rnacentral:tRNA from 1 species